rnacentral:rRNA from 1 species
GACAGAGGGUGCAAACGUUGUUCGGAAUUACUGGGCGUAAAGCGCGUGUAGGCGGUCUCGCAAGUCGGAUGUGAAAGCCCAGGGCUCAACCCUGGAAGUGCACUCGAUACUGCGAGGCUAGAGUCCCGGAGAGGAUGGUGGAACUCUCGGUGUAGAGGUGAAAUUCGUAGAUACCGAGAAGAACACCGGUGGCGAAGGCGGCCAUCUGGACGGUGACUGACGCUGAGACGCGAAAGCGUGGGAGCAAACAGG